rnacentral:rRNA from 1 species
UACGUAGGGACCAAGCGUUGUUCGGAUUUACUGGGCGUAAAGGGCGCGUAGGCGGCAAUUCAAGUCAGCUGUGAAAUCUCCGGGCUUAACUCGGAACGGUCAGCUGAUACUGCUUUGCUAGAGUGCAGAAGGGGCAAUCGGAAUUCUUGGUGUAGCGGUGAAAUGCGUAGAUAUCAAGAGGAACACCUGAGGUGAAGACGGGUUGCUGGGCUGACACUGACGCUGAGUGCGCGAAAGCGUGGGGAGCAAACAGG